rnacentral:rRNA from 1 species
UCUAGUGUCGAUAUUAAAUUGGAAACACUUCAACCCUCAACCCUUUUCGAAUUUGAAAGUGAAACAAUUUAAGGGUUUUCAUACUAUCGGGGCAGUCUGAUGGAAAACAAACCUGAUGCUAGAAG